rnacentral:misc_RNA from 1 species
GCAAACUUGGUCAUUUAGAGGAAGUAAAAGUCGUAACAAGGUUUCCGUAGGUGAACCUGCGGAAGGAUCAUUAACAGUGUUCGUGGCUUUUAAACAGCCAUGAUCCAAUCCUAUCAUCCACUGUGUGCAUCUUAUCGAGCUUUGUGCCUUGGCAGAGUGGAGACACUCUGCCAAAGGUGUUAUCCUAUUCUAGCCUGACGUAUCAGACUGAAUAAACUAUUUUGAACCACAUACAACUUUCAACAACGGAUCUCUUGGCUCUCGCAUCGAUGAAGAACGCAGC